CCUGAGUUAGACUCGAUCAAGAUUAUUUAUCACUGAAGCGGGCUCGAUUAGAAAGCGUUGCUACUGAGUGUGUAGCUUUCAGUGUGUAGUCAAGACUUAGUGUUUAACGUUGAAUCGGAAAUUAAGCAAAAACAGGUUAGCAAGUAAAUAAUCAGAAUGUCUGCUCAACAACCACCCCAAGUCGUAACCACACAACCCGCAAAUGUUGUUGCUGUUGGAGGAUGUCCAUCAUGCGGUGUUGGACGGGUGUCAGAAGAUUUCACAACUAUAGGUAUAAUCCUGGCCAUUUUGUUCUUUCCUCUAGGAAUAUUGUGCUGUUUGAUGAUGAAGGAGAAGAAAUGUGACAGAUGUGGCGCGAAAUUUUAGAACACAAAAAUAUUAAACAUAGUGAAUAUAAGAAAAGCUCUGUAUAUCAAAUGCAACGUACUAUACACUUUCUGAGUGGAGUAAUACUUACAAGUGAUACUGAACAUGUAUAAUGCGUGGGUAACUGACUGGAUAAGGAAGGAAAUAUCGGAAUGUGUUUACCUUUAAUUAUAAGAAGGAUAUAUAGUACGGAAUGAGCGUUAGAUAUAAUACUUAUACAAUUAUCGUUGUUUAAAUAUGUUAUGUAUAUAAUUACGUGUUUACAUAUUUUCCAGUUUCUUUCUUAUUUCAAGUAACAAGAGAAUGUAAAUGGGAUUUUCCAAUUUCUUUCUUAUUUCAAUUUGUAAGAUAAUGUAAAUGGAGGAAAUUUGAUUACCUGCAUCAUCUGAUGAAAUUCAAGAUUCCUCAGCAGACGAGAAUGUUCUUUAUUUCAACCGUCGUGUAAAUGAAAAAUGGAUUUUUAUGUUAAAAAUACCAAAAAAGUCGUCCUUAGUAAAAUCGACGUAAGUAAAUUAUUCUUACAUGGCGCGAUUUGAUUGUGUUAAACAAAGAAGCGGGUCAAGCUCUGUAUAUUCUGCGAUAGAUAACGGUUGACGCAUGGAUCAGUAAGGGAGCAUUUUGACGUCUAAUUUACCAAAUGGUGUACGGUUCAUUAGUAUAUCUAUUUAGAUAAAAGAAGCCCAGCAAAAAACAUGGAAGAAUGAAAACAAUCAAGUUCUUCUUGUGGUCUAUAGUCUUAUAUACCACGGUUCAUCGUUCAGAUGGUUAGAUAUUUAACCACUCCGGCUUACGCACUCGUAGUUCAAUUCCUGAGCAUCUGAACUGGCGACAUGGUUCAAUAUCCAAGCAUCUGAACGAUGAACCGUGGUAAACAAGACGAUAAACCACAAGACGACAUUGAUUGUUUUUAUUCUUACACGUUCAUUGAAAUAUUUUGAUAUGACGCUGGGCUUCCUUUAUCCGAGCACUAAUGAACCGGACGUCAUGCAAUAAUUUGGCGUCAUAUCUGACGUCAUUAUGUUUUCUUACUGGUCUACUUGAACUAUUCUAACAUGGUCCGAUUUGAUGGCCACUUAAACAGAGGGUCAAAUUCUGUAUAUUCAGCGAUAAACAACGGUUGACGCUUGGACCAGUAAGAGAACAUUUAAUUUAUGACGUCAGUUAUCAUGUCAUAUUACCGCAUGAUGUUCGGUUCAUUAGUACUCGGAGAAAUGAAGCCCAGCAUUACAAUCAAAAUAUUUCAAUGAACGUGUAAGAAUGAAAAUAAUUGAGGUCUUUUUGUGGUUUAUCGUCUUAGUUACCAAGGUUCAUCACUCAGAUGCUUAGAUAUUUAACAACUUGGGCUAACGCCCUUGUGGUUCAGUUCCUGUGCAUCUGAACUCUGAACCGUGAUAAUUCUGGCGAGAAACAACCCGAAGGCCUUGAUUAUUUGUUAAACAAUUCUUCUAAAUAAAACAUCGCUUUUAUUAAAAAUCGUUUCAAUGAUGUGGUUCACACUUUAUUUUUGAUUCAUUCAUACAGAUACAGCUUUGUAUCCUUUCACACACAUAUAAUCACUGAAUAAUGCACUUUGGAACGUACAUAAUGGGGCCUAUAGUAUACUUACGUAUCUCAAGUUAUUUAUGACUGCCUUUGUCUUUGCCUUUCAAUAAUUUACAUCAAAUUAUAUUCUGUAUAUAUGUAUUCAUGUGAAACAUUUGAAUUAGAAUAAAAAAUGUUAAUCUUGUC